AAAAGCCUGUGGUGGGGGAAGGGAGUGAAGGCGUGUGCCUCCUCAUGGAACACAGGGUCGGAGUCGGCUAGGAGGGAUAAGAGUACAAUAGAGGGUUGUGUGACACAGACAGGCUGCCAGCCCUCAGCAUGGACCCGGCACAUGGAAUCUGUGAUCUUAAAAGAGUCAAGUGACUACCUUUGGCAACCAAAAGAGACACUGCCUUUUAGAAGGCAUAUCAUCUGAAACUGGCUGAAAGAGCUGUCUUACUUAGGAAGAAAAAUCUCUCCUUUGGAAAGAGCUGGAACUUUUAGUAAAACUGAACAGUGAGGUGGCGGAAGAUAAAUAUGCUGAGGCAUGUUUUCAAGGAGGGGAGAGAGAUUCCUUUUCCUCAGCCGGGCACAGAGCCAACCUGAAGUGUAGCACUGUGGUGACCUGGCGGGAUCUGCUCUCCAGUCACUCCCGAGGGCCCUUCUGGGGACAAGGAGACUUUUCUGUGCGGCCUGUUGAUUUGAUAGAGAUGAUGUCUUGCCACAUUGCCCAGGCUGGUCUCAAACUCCAGGCCUAAAGGGAUCUUCUGACUUUGGCCUCCCAAAGUGCUGAGAUUAUAGGAUCGAGGCUAUCAAGCUACAGAUGAUCUUACAAAUGGAACCCCAAAUGAGCUCAACUAACAACUACCAAGGACCCCUGGACCAACCCGCUGGCCCUUUCAAUGGCCUAAAGAGUUCCCCUCUGGAGGACACUACAACUGCAGGGUCCUUUCUUUGCCCCUAUCCAGCAGGAAGUAGCUAGAGUGGUCAUCACCCAAUUCCCAACAGCAGUUGGGGUGUCUUGUUAAGUGGGGAGAUUGAGAGGUGAAGCCAGCUGGGCUUCUGGGUUGGGUGGGGACUUGGAGAACUUUUCUGUCUAGCUAGAGGAUUGUAAACACACCAAUCAGUGCUAUGUGUCUAGCUAGAGGUUUGUAAAUGCACCAAUCAGCACUCUGUAAAAACGGACCAAUCAGCACUCUGUAAAAUGGACCAAUCAGUAGGAUGCGGGCAGGGCCAAAUAAGGGAAUAAAAGCUGGCCACCUGAGUCAGCAGUGGCAACCCACUCGGGUCCCCUUCCAUGCUGUGGAAGCUUUGUUCUUUCACUCUUCACAAUAAAUCUUGCUGCUGCUCACUCUUUGGGUCCACACCACCUUUAUGAGCUGCAACACUCACUGCGAAGGUCUUCAGCUUCACUCCUGAAGUCAGCGAGACCACGAACCCAUGGGGAGGAACAAUCGACUUCAGACAUGCCACCUUUAAGAGCUGUAACACUCACUGCGAAGGUCUGUGGCUUCACUCCUGAAGUCAGCAAGACCACGAACCCACUGGAAGGAAGAAAUUUCGGACACAUCUGAACAUCUGAAUGAACAAACUCUGGACACGCCAUCUUUAAGAACUGUAACACUCACUGUGAGGGUUCAUGGGUUCAUUCUUGAAGUCAGCAAGACCAAGAACCCACCAGAAGGAACCAAUUCCGGACACAGACUCACUGCAACCUCCACCUCCUGGAUUCAAGUGAUUCUCCUGCCUCAGCCUCCGGAGUAGCUGUGCCUACAGGCACAAGCCACCACACACGGCUAAUUUUUUGUAUUUUUAGUAGAGAUGGGGUUUCACCAUGUUGCUCAGGCUGGUCUCCAACUCCUGAGCUCAAGUGAUCCACCUGUCUCGGCCUCCCAAAGUGUUGGGAUACAUGUGUGAGCCACUGUGCCCGGCCUCCUCUGGAUUAGUUCUUACAGGAAUAGAUUAGUUCUUGCUCGAGCAAGUUGUUAUAAAAGUGAGGUUGCCUCUAGUGUUUUGCAUCCUCACAUAUGUCUGCUUACCUCUUGACCUCUCUCUGUGUUAUGACCCAGCACAAAAGCCCUUACCAGAAGCCAAGCAGAUGCUGAUGCCACACCCCUUGGACUUCUCAGUCUACAGAGCCAUGAAACGAAUAAACCUCUCUUUAUAAAUUA
ensembl:lncRNA LINC02732 long intergenic non-protein coding RNA 2732